rnacentral:misc_RNA from 1 species
AUGGGACGGCCCGCUGGGCUGUUCCCGCCCCUAUGCCCUUUUUUGGGUUUCCGGCCAGAGGCAUGCUGGGAGCGUCACAUGCAAAUUGAGCGUGCACCCAGCGUUCCGCCCUUUCUACGCUGGGCCGGUUAUCGACCCGGCCCAGUGCGCAGGCGCGGGAAAGUUGAACUAAUAAAGUUUGUACGAGUUCAGUGGAGGAGACCGCAAGUUGAGUGGAGGAGGCGGCGGUGGGGCCCCGGACCAGGUCAGCGGGGUGUUGACGAGGGGUGGGGUGAGGAGGGAAGAGGAGGGGGCCGGGAUCCAGUGGUGGGCACCCCAGUCCCGCUUCUCUGAUAUCCAAGGGUCCAGGGUCCUCUAGAUUCCAGCAGGGGUCGGAGAUUUGGAACUACACCUCACAGCAGGCUGCGCGGCGAAGAAGCGCGGACCUAGGGGAAGAUUUGCCCUGAAACCUCUUGGGAUUGGUAGUUCCCGAUGCUUUAAGGGUUUCAGGAGUUUGGCAUAUGCCUCUUAUAGAAUCCAGGAGUUGGGGCGCUAAGCCUCUUCUUCCUGGGAGACCUAAGGGUCUGGGGCUCCAGUUCCUUUUUCUCUAAGACUCAGAAGUCCAGGACCCCAGCUCCCUCCUCCUUUAGACCCACGAAUCUGGGCACCCAGCCCCACCACCUUUCCUUGGAUCGAAGAGUCUUUUUCCUGAUCGCUUUUUCGUCUGAGGACUCAAGAGUCUAGGCCCCCAGACCCACACUCUCCAAAGGACCCAGGAGUCCAGGCCCUCAGCACCUUCCUUGGGACUCACAAGUCCUGGUCCCCAAGCCUCCACUUCUUGCUAAACCCUUGGAGUCCAGUCCCUAACCCUCUCUCUCACAGGUGCCUCCAUGGCAGGCUCUGAAGAGCUGGGGCUCCGGGAAGACACGCUGAGGGUCCUAGCUGCCUUCCUUAGGCGUGGUGAGGCUGCCGGGUCUCCUGUUCCAACUCCACCUAGAAGCCCUGCCCAAGAAGAGCCAACAGACUUCCUGAGCCGCCUUCGAAGAUGUCUUCCCUGCUCCCUGGGGCGAGGAGCAGCCCCCUCUGAGUCCCCUCGGCCUUGCUCUCUGCCCAUCCGCCCCUGCUAUGGUUUAGAGCCUGGCCCAGCUACUCCAGACUUCUAUGCUUUGGUGGCCCAGCGGCUGGAACAGCUGGUCCAAGAGCAGCUGAAAUCUCCGCCCAGCCCAGAAUUACAGGGUCCCCCAUCGACAGAGAAGGAAGCCAUACUGCGGAGGCUGGUGGCCCUGCUGGAGGAGGAGGCAGAAGUCAUUAACCAGAAGGUGAUGGGCAUCUGUCCCACUCCUUGGCAAGGACAGGAGUUGCGGAAUGCUGGCCUCGGACCCCGCCCUGCGCAGCAAGCUGGUCCGCCUGUCCUCCGACUCUUUCGCCCGCCUGGUGGAGCUGUUCUGUAGCCGGGAUGACAGCUCUCGCCCAAGCCGAGCAUGCCCCGGGCCCCCGCCUCCUUCCCCGGAGCCCCUGGCCCGCCUGGCCCUAGCCAUGGAGCUGAGCCGGCGCGUGGCCGGGCUGGGGGGCACCCUGGCCGGACUCAGCGUGGAGCACGUGCACAGCUUCACGCCCUGGAUCCAGGCCCACGGGGGCUGGGAGGGCAUCCUGGCUGUUUCACCCGUGGACUUGAACUUGCCAUUGGACUGAGCUCUUUCUCAGAAGCUGCUACAAGAUGACACCUCAUGUCCCUGCCCUCUUCGUGUGCUUUUCCAAGUCUUCCUAUUCCACUCAGGGCUGUGGGGUGGUGGUUGCCCUACCUGUUUUUGCCAAAAAUAAAUUGUUUAAAACUUUUCUUAUUAAAAACGUUACAAAGUA